AUUGAACGCUGGCGGCAUGCCUUACACAUGCAAGUCGAACGGCAGCACGGGAGCAAUCCUGGUGGCGAGUGGCGAACGGGUGAGUAAAGUAUCGGAACGUGCCCAGUCGUGGGGGAUAACGUAGCGAAAGUUACGCUAAUACCGCAUACGAUCUAUGGAUGAAAGCGGGGGAUCGCAAGACCUCGCGCGAUUGGAGCGGCCGAUAUCAGAUUAGGUAGUGGGUGGGGUAAAGGCUCACCAAGCCGACGAUCUGUAGCUGGUCUGAGAGGACGACCAGCCACACUGGGACUGAGACACGGCCCAGACUCCUACGGGAGGCAGCAGUGGGGAAUUUUGGACAAUGGGCGAAAGCCUGAUCCAGCCAUGCCGCGUGCAGGAUGAAGGCCUUCGGGUUGUAAACUGCUUUUGUACGGAACGAAAAGGUUUGGCCUACUAAGCUGAGCUCAUGACGGUACCGUAAGAAUAAGCACCGGCUAACUACGUGCCAGCCGCCGCCGUAACAC
rnacentral:rRNA from 1 species